GCUUUUUCUUCUUAUUAUAAAGAGGUUUGGUCGGUUUGGUUUAUGUGAAUUAUGAUUUCUCGGUUAGGUUUUAGUGAAUCGUGAUUUCUUAUCCUUUGUCUCUUGCUUACUGAUGUCGAUAGAAUCAGAUACCCUCUUUCCUGGCGUCACACAACCUUCCCUGAAAAGCUCCUUAGAAAUAGAGAAGCAGCCGAAAUUUGAACCGGAAGCAGAAGGGGAAUCAGAAUCAGAAGCCAAUUCUGAAUUGGAAUGGGAACCAGACCCAUGGAGUUUGAAACGCAUUGAAGAUUUAGUGGAGAGUGACUUCUAUAGGUAUAACUAUGACUCAAAUCCUUACCUUUUUUCUUGUUCGCGGUUUGAGUAUAAGAAUAAGGCACAGAUUAAAUAUAGAAGAGGAAGUAGAAAAGGCCGUGACUGACUACGAGGACCGCUCUCGUAACGUAACUGUGUGUUUCUCUCAAUCUAUUGCAUUGUUUGUUUCCUUAAUUUUACUUUCAAUUUUGUAUUUCUCUAACUUAACAUAUAUAUUAUGCUCUGCACAUCCCUUUGAUGAUAUCCCUGUGCCACCGUUAGCCAAUAUAUGUGGUAAUAACUGGCCAAACCCUUUACCAUUGCCGAUGAUGUUCGCCCACUUCUCAUUCACCUCUCUAACCAUACAAUGUAAAUAUACAAUCAGGGUGCAGAUGCAAACUAUGUGUUUAAUGAAAUUAUCAAAGCAACCUCUCAGUUUAUUCCUUUGAAGCAAAAGACGCUGCUCUGGUUGAUCCUUUCAACAGCCCAAUCACAACUUUUCAGGCCCAUGUAUGGAACAUGAGGCUUGCAGAGGGACCGCAUGUAGUCAAGUCAUGUUCCGCUAAACCUAACUAAUACAUGCUCCUCAGAGAGGAGGGCUAAAUGCAUGAUUUCAUAUUUAGCAUAAUUCAGCAGAAUCAAUAUUAUUGGAGACACAAAAAUGGUGACAAUUUUUUUUUUUUGGAUUUGAAGUAUGGAUCCAUUAGGUGGGUUCUUCAUGAGAUCGACUUAUGAUACUUUUGUUUCGCUUAACUGGGUAGCGGGAGGAUAGGCCCGAGUCUGUGGUUAAAGGCCUUGCUAGGGCAUGAAAGAGUUGGACGCUCUAUAAAGUUGUUAUUUUCUCCUGACAUCAGUUGUAUAAUAGGUUUUCAAUUAUACUCGA